AGCAAUCUCUCGAAAUAUUUUGAGAAAUCGAACCGGGGACCUUGUGCGUGUGAAGCACACGUGAUAACCGCUAUACACCACGGAAACAUGC